CCUACGGGAGGCAGCAGUGGGGAAUAUUGGGCAAUGGGCGAAAGCCUGACCCAGCAACGCCGCGUGAAGGAAGAAGGCUUUCGGGUUGUAAACUUCUUUUGACAGGGAAGAGCAGAAGACGGUACCUGUCGAAUAAGCCACGGCUAACUACGUGCCAGCAGCCGCGGUAAUACGUAGGUGGCAAGCGUGGUCCGGAUUUACUGGGGGUAAAGGGCGUGUAGCCGGGCUGACAAGUCAGAUGUGAAAUCCGGGGGCUCAACGCCCGAACUGCAUUUGAAACUGUUGGUCUUGAGUAUCGGAGAGGCAGGCGGAAUUCCUAGUGUAGCGGUGAAAUGCGUAGAUAUUAGGAGGAACACCAGUGGCGAAGGCGGCCUGCUGGACGACAACUGACGGUGAGGCGCGAAAGCGUGGGGAGCAAACAGGAUUAGAUACCCUGGUAGUC
rnacentral:rRNA from 1 species